ensembl:lincRNA Gm29264 predicted gene 29264
CUCUUACGUCUCUGCCUCCUCGACCUUGCACUAGAGAAGCCCCACUAUGAGGAGACCGAGAGCUGCCCUCCUCUGACCGCGCAUCCUUUUCAAGAGAGAGCAGAAAGCGUUGUCCGGCUUUCCCCAUUAAACAGACGGAGAGAUGUUCUAAGCUGGCCAGGAUUCUGAACGCCCUGCCAACGGUCUUUUCCCAGCAGAUCGGCAGCAGAACAGGCUCUCGCCUGUCAGACCUACCUGAAGUGCCCUCUUUCAUGCAGUCCUAUCUGUCAGCUGGAGGACCAGUUCUGGGAGGUGGACGUUGUUCUUCGGGCUCCAAAGGCCAUAUGCUAAAAAUACUGAUGGCAGAGACGGACACCCGAAGAGCACUUGGCAGUGAGGAUACUGUGCUGUGUGGAGCCUGUCCUUCAGGGGAAGAUCUCCCAGCUGCCCAGUUUCUCAGGAAAGCGAGUGAGUUCUCACUCCCGUGGUGCCGAACUAGUUCCUGGACCAUCAAGUUCUGAGAAGGAGAAAGCAACGCACAGCCUUCACCAACCAGACAUGGCUGCCCAGUCUUGGACUUCUCAGGUUCCAGAGCAAUCAACCAAAAUAAACAAGUGAUUUGGGCCUCAGGUAGUCCCUUUAGUAAUGGAAAACUGAAAGGUCCCGAGUACAAGACGCAAGGGGGAUAAAUGGGCAGAUUAUCCCUUCAGAAGAAUCUCUGCUAUGACGGCUUGCUCACAUGCAGAACAAGUUGCAGCUGGCUGUCGGCAGGAGACUUUAUUUCCUCCUCUGGGUGAGCUUCUUCCUAGACCUUCUGCCUCCUCAUGACUGGGCAGCUAGCUUCCCACAAGCAGACAGGAAGGAAGUGGCUACGCCUUCUUCAACUUGGUCCUAGAAGCGCUAGCCCAUCCUUCCAGCCAUAGUCAGUUGCCGAGUCAGUCACAAGUGAUUCAGAGAUGGGCAAGACACUUGCAGCUGGUUUGAAGGAUGCGAACAGGUUCACAAAUGAAUGCUGGGCAGCAGCUGGCAUUUGGAGGGGGCCAGGGUAGCACUGCAGACUCCAGGAACUAUGCAAAAGAGGUGUCUUCGGGUCAGGAAAUUAACUCUGCUGCAACAGGCUUUGAGAGCAACAGCAACCCUGCAAAGAGUACCAGAGAAAUGGAGUAUGGUGUGUCCAUUUCACCUGGACCAUCUUCUGAAGCCCCAAAUUAAACAACCUCACCAACAUCACCCUCUUUCCAUGUAGAGAGAUUAAAAGAAGACAAUAAAGGAAAUAGAAAAGGUG